AGCGAACGCUGGCGGCAGGCUUAACACAUGCAAGUCGAGCGGGCAUCCUUGUGGUGUCAGCGGCAGACGGGUGAGUAACGCGUGGGAACGUGCCCUUCGGUUCGGAAUAACUCAGGGAAACUUGAGCUAAUACCGGAUACGCCCUUUUGGGGAAAGGUUUACUGCCGAAGGAUCGGCCCGCGUCUGAUUAGCUAGUUGGUGAGGUUACGGCUCACCAAGGCGACGAUCAGUAGCUGGUCUGAGAGGAUGAUCAGCCACACUGGGACUGAGACACGGCCCAGACUCCUACGGGAAGCAGCAGUGGGGAAUAUUGGACAAUGGGGGCAACCCUGAUCCAGCCAUGCCGCGUGAGUGAUAACAGCCUUAGGGUUGUAAAGCUCUUUUCUCCGGGACGAUAAUGACGGUACCGGAGGAAUAAGCCCCGGCUAACUUCGUG
rnacentral:rRNA from 1 species